rnacentral:rRNA from 1 species
UAGGGAAUCUUCCACAAUGGGCGAAAGCCUGAUGGAGCAACGCCGCGUGUGUGAUGAAGGGUUUCGGCUCGUAAAACACUGUUGUAAGAGAAAAUGACAUUGAGAGUAACUGUUCAAUGUGUGACGGUAUCUUACCAGAAAGGAACGGCUAAAUACGUACCAG